UACAUUUUACGUUUUCUAACAAACAUUCAGCAGAGGCCAUGACUAAUCCUAUAAUCUUAUUGUGACAUAAUUAAUAGCAAAAUAUAGUUCAAAGGUUUCCUAUUUGCACUUGUAAAAGCAUGUAUUGGGUAAGACUUCGGCUAACCCGGCCCAACUCAUUUUGUAUGCUUUAUUAUGAUCCAAUCUACGACAUCAAGUAUUCUUGUCUACUCCAUGCAAACCAAAUUUGACACUUGCUCUUACGAACGGUUUUGGAGAAAUAAAAAUUUCUUUUUGAACAUUAUGGGAGCAAAAGAAAGUGCACGUAUAGUUAAAUGCAGCUGAAUAUGCAGACCUAAGAGCAAGGGUGGGAUAACCAGAGCAAAGAUUUGUUAGAAAUAUGCUAUACAUUAAAAUAUUUAAUGUUUCUUUUUGUAUAUUUCAUCAUCAUUUGCAAGAUCAUUGUUUUCAACUAUGAUAUGUGGUCUAUUAUCAUAAAAGUAAAACAACAAGUUAUUGGAAUAUGA
rnacentral:lncRNA from 1 species